GUGCCAGCAGCCGCGGUAAUACGGAGGGUGCAAGCGUUAUCCGGAUUCACUGGGUUUAAAGGGUGCGUAGGUGGCUUUGUAAGUCAGUGGUGAAAUAUUACGGCUCAACCGUAAAACUGCCAUUGAUACUGCUUAGCUUGAAUCAGGUCGAGGUGGAUGGAAUAUUACAUGUAGCGGUGAAAUGCUUAGAUAUGUAAUAGAACACCGAUUGCGAAGGCAGUUCACUAGGCCUGAAUUGACACUGAGGCACGAAAGCGUGGGGAUCAAACAGGAUUAGAUACCCUCGUAGUCC
rnacentral:rRNA from 1 species